rnacentral:lncRNA from 1 species
AAUAUUUUGCCUAGAGACCACAGUCACCUGAUGCAAUUCUGACUUGCAUUUGUCGGCAUAUCCUAAUCGGAAUAUGGUUUCACAUUCUUUAUAUGAGAGGUCAUGUUUCCCAUGGCGUGGAAAUAGAUUGAUGCAUGAUCGCAUGUAAAAAGGUUACUGCUUAGGUUCCUCUCUUUUUUUUGUUUUUUUUCCUCUCGAGUAGACAGAUCCGAAAACAAGCUUAUCAAUUAUAAUCCGGGGUUGACUUCUGUAAAGAAUAAAAAGACGAAAGAAAAUCGGGCGCAAGUGUAUGAUUAUAAGUAACCUUCAGCAAUGAGAUCAUGUCUUACGCAACUAGAUGUGUUGGCUUCUUGUUUUUGGUGAGAGCUCUUCUCGCUAAAGUUAGCAGGGAAGAUAGAUACCCAUCUGAUCAUCUCUCCGCACGAACAUCAAGCAGCUGCUACUCGGAGUAUAUGUUGAUUUUGUUGCGCUUCUCUAUCUCUCUUCUCGUCGUCGGAGCAUCGGCAGCAUCUCCUCAUGGCAGAAACGAGAUUUUACAACACGUAUUUGUUAUAGAAUUUUUUUUUCCCCUCUUAAAGCUAGGAGUGGGCUUGGUGUCCGACGACUAAUUAAUUGUUAAUACUUUUUUAUAUAUAAUUGUGGGUAUUCAGGC